rnacentral:lncRNA from 1 species
GCAUCUGUCACCUCCAAUCCAGGUCACUGAUGGUGUAAUCCAUACAAAAAAAGUGAUGAAUGUUUCAGAACACAUCGAGAGGGAUGACGGCACUAUGCGAUUGCAAUGGUUCUGGUGGUGCUAGCAAACGUGCAUGAGAGAGGGGUUCAAAUCUGACAUGGUGAUUUGUGUGUUAAUGGUUACGAAUUCUGGUUCGAUGGUUUCGAUGGUGGUCCAUCGAGAUCUCACAAAGAGCCAAUUUUGUUUCAUUGAAAAUUUUCUCCACGCAGCUUUUUAACUCGUCAGUAGAACAAGCAAAAGUACUUCGAGUCUUUAUCUCUAUCAUUGAAUUUCCCUUUCAUUUAAUUAAUCUUUGAAAGUAAAUGAAAGAGAAAAUUUUCAUUAUAACUGGAAAACUUUUCACAAACUUUGUCAGCAUACAUAGGAAUAGGAAUCUUUCAUUUUGAAUCACUCAAAAUCUUCAUAACCAAUUUAUCUUUCAUUUUCCUUUGUUAGCAUAUCAUAGGAACUUUUCACAAAAUGUUAAUCUUCGUAAUUGGAUUGUGUUAUGGAACCAAGAAUUGCAGCUUAAGGAAUGAAGGAAUUUCUUGUACCUCGGAAUUUUUCAGCCCUUAGCAAUCCAACCAAUUGGGUCUUCCCCCACAAAUGCUGGCAGCUCCCCCUUACCCCAAAUUUGCGCUUCCUCCAUCUCUAACACCAGUUCUCCCUCAAAGAUCCAGCAAGUUGGACCAAUUGUUAGGAACCAAGAAUUGAAAUGAGAAAGAAAAGAGAAUUUUAUUGACUGGUAAAAAAAGAACAGAAAUAGGAGAGAAAACUCUCCUCCAAUGGUUCCCCCUUCACAAAGGAUUUCUCCUUUCAAAAAGAGCUAAUGCUCAAUUUACAAUGACAAAAAAAACUCUCUUUCUCCUAUCCUUCUUCUCUUAUAUAUAUCUAAUCAACCCCUCUAACUAACUAACUAACUAACUCAUUAAUAGUCUAACCAUCUUAACUAACUUUCCCUUCUCUUUUUAUCCUAACAAAUUGGAAAAAAUUUUAAUGUGUGCAUGAAUUAGAAUUUGUUGAUUCAUUGUGUUGUGAUUUGCAAUUUGAAGGUUAUGGAAGUGGAAGUGGCUCUCACUUGCUGAAGAAGAGAGAAGCAACUUUUGGCAGUAUUUAAACUGCCAAAAAAUGGUUUCUAUUCAUUAAAGACUAUUAUGAAGCAUUAUCUGGCGGUUUAGAACUGCCAAAAAAUGAGCCUCCACAAAACGUAAAAAAAUAUUAAAAACAUUAAUGUCACAUCAUCAUUUAAUGGUGAAAAUUAACGUCAAGGAACAAAAUUGGCACCAGAAGGAAAAAUUAGAAACUUUGACAGGUCAAACUUUUGUUCAGGAACUAAAAACAGAAUUCUAAAAAAGUUCAGGGACUAAAUACAUAAUUAAUCCUAUUUUUAAUAAUAAAAUAUGUUUUGAAAAUUAUAAUAGUUAGACAAG